rnacentral:lncRNA from 1 species
GAAAGAAUGCUAUUAAUGUCACUCAAAUCCAACGCCAGAGACAAGAAGCUGAACACCCCAAAAUUUCCUCUAUCCAUUGGUAGCAACAGAGGAGAAAAAGUGUGACAGCAAUUUCCGGAAAUCGCCGCCAGGGAACGAAAUCAGCACUCAUCACCGACGGGAUCAAAGAUUACGAUGCAGAAAUUAGGGAUAUUGAAGCUGAAGGUCGGGUGUUGUGAUGUUUCCACCACUGCGUCAGUGAGUGGAACUGCAAACAUUUGACCGGGAUCGAUCGCGUCCAUAGGGAAUCCUCACAAUCGAGCCGGUUAGGAAGUCUAUCUCGUAAAAGUCUCAUACUAAACACAUUCUUUUUUUGGCACUGAUGUGAGCCAUAUCUCUGCACUGCCUUCAAUAAUUCAUCAUUGAAAUCAUUGGGAAAAUGCAAAUAUCACAGAUCUUGAUAACAACCUUUCACCGAGAAUAUGUUGCACUCUCUGGCAACCAUUUAUCAACAUCCAGUACAGGUUGCUGCAGCUGUGUUUUUACACAAGAAACUGAACUGGCAGAGAAGUGUUUUUACACAAGAAUACCUUAUUAAUCACAAGAGCCAUACAGUGUUGUUUCUGCUACACAGGUUCUGUCUCGGAAACUCUGAGUCAAUCUUCAAAACUCUGUAACCAGUAUAAUUGAUCUGCAAAGCAUAGCAUUACUCACUGCCCUUUCGAACAACCAACGGAUUCUGUGCUGCGAGCAACCACUAGACAUGUCGCAUGACAACGCCAAAAUCCUGACCACUGCAUAUGUUUUCCCAUGACCUGAUAGCAAUUGUUUGUCUCAAGUGGUAAUGAUGACUCUGCUUCCAGGACCAAGCCGACCAGGCUCUCCGACCAAAUUGUUCAAUUUCUCUCGUUUGUCUAUGUCAUCGAGAAUCAACAACACUUUCUUCUGAGAUAGCCCUUCAUUUUAUGAUUGAAAUUCCUUCAUUAACAUGUCCAAACUGUCUUUCAAAUCCGAUUGAUUUGGAGAGGAGCUGCUCUUGGAGAUACUCUAAGCCAUGUUUAACAGCAUUUUCUCUCACAAUGUGAAGGAAACACUUACAUUCAAAUUGAUCAAUAAUCGAAUUAUAAAUUGCUUGAGAAAGUGUUGUUUUACCCCUUCCUCCAGUUCCAAGUAUUCCUAUUAUGCAGACUCCAUCAUUCGAGAUUUGAGACCAACAAGGUAAUCAGCAACAUGUAAAGGAACAUGGUUAAUCUUGUUGGAGACAUCUGUAACUAUUUUUUCAAUAAAAUCUCGUUCAUAUUCAUUUAUG